rnacentral:rRNA from 1 species
AUGCAUGUUGGCACGGCGCGUUCACAGUCCGCCGGUGGAAGGAACAGGUGCCGGCGCCCGGCGCAUGGCAGACUGGCAGGGCGAGACACCACCUGCGCCAGGGCGGUCGGUCGUCCGCCGGCGAGAUCCGUCGAGGAGGGGGGUUCCAUGGCGAGAUCCAGAAACCAGGGGAAGAGAGAGAGGGAGAGGGAGCGGCCAAGGGAUAAGGCGAGGACGAAAAAUAACAAACCUAGCCGCAAAACGCGAUGCGCGUCGUCACGUCGCGUAAAGAGCGGACCGCACGGGCUGCGGUCCCCCGCCGGUCCAAUCGCCCACCACCGCCCGCUCCACUUGGCCUCCGUCUCCGCUGCUCGCACCUUGCCUCGUGCCGCUGCUCGCGGCCCCUUGCCUCUCCGGUGCCUGCACGCCGCCGUCGGGGACGUGGACGUGAACGCACGCGGGGUUACCGCCGGCGAACCAGCCAUGCGUGUGCCCGCGGAUUCCUCUGCCAGUUCGAGAUCUGCACUGGCCGCUGCUCGCCCCUUGCCUCGCCGCCGCACCCCUCAACUCACUCGCAUCGCCAUGCCUGCCCGGCAGGAGAUUGCUCCGGCCUCUGCCAGGUCGCCGCUACCGGGUACGUGGGUGGACGCGGGGCAAUCGGCCGCCAGCGAACGAGGACACGCAUGCGAGGCGCGCGGAGCAGCAGUGUCCUCCCUGCUGCCGGCGACGUCCUCUUGUCUCCUCCAUAGAGGUUAUCCUGGCAUGUUUCCUUUAUGCAUAUCUUCCAUUGAUCAAUUUUCUAUGCAUAUCUUCCAUUGCCAACUCUCAUGCUCCAUUGAUGCUCUCAGGAGGGACAUGGUCGUUAUUGUCGCUGCAGAGGGCCCAGGGUUUGUUGCUGGGGGCAUUCAGCUUGUUGUGAUCUACGUGGAUUUCAAGUUGGACAAGAGCUACACACCGAGCAAGAUCUCCAUUGGGGCGGGCGACGGGUUCCACAAUCUCAAGAGAAUCAUUCAUUCACACAUCUAUGCUCCGAAUCGUGGUGUUGGCCAAUCACCUGAACGGGAGGGACACCCAUGUCCUACAGACCAAGAUAUGCGGGCCAUGACCGUAAGUUGGAUUUUCUAG